GAUGAAGAACGCAGCGAAAUGCGAUAAGUAAUGUGAAUUGCAGAAUUCAGUGAAUCAUCGAAUCUUUGAACGCACAUUGCGCCCGCUAGUAUUCUGGCGGGCAUGCCUGUCCGAGCGUCAUUUCAACCCUCAAGCCCCCGGGCUUGGUGUUGGGGAUCGGCGAGCCUCCGCGCCCGCCGUCCCCUAAAUCUAGUGGCGAUCUCGCUGUAGCUUCCUCUGCGUAGUAGCACACCUCGCACUGGGAAACAGCGCGGCCACGCCGUUAAACCCCCAACUUCUGAACGUUUGACCUCGGAUCAGGUAGGAAUACCCGCUGAACUUAAGCAUAUCAAUAAGCGGAGGA
rnacentral:misc_RNA from 1 species